UGCCCUUCAGUCUGGGACAAGCCCUGGAAACGGGGUCUAAUACCGGAUAACACUUACCUCCUCCUGGGGGUUGGUUAAAAGCUCCGGCGGUGAAGGAUGAGCCCGCGGCCUAUCAGCUUGUUGGUGGGGUAAUGGCCUACCAAGGCGACGACGGGUAGCCGGCCUGAGAGGGCGACCGGCCACACUGGGACUGAGACACGGCCCANACUCCUACGGGAGGCAGCAGUGGGGAAUAUUGCACAAUGGGCGAAAGCCUGAUGCAGCGACGCCGCGUGAGGGAUGACGGCCUUCGGGUUGUAAACCUCUUUCAGCAGGGAAGAAGCGCAAGUGACGGUACCUGCANAANAAGCACCGGCUAACUACGUGCCAGCAGCCGCGGUAAUACGUAGGGUGCGAGCGUUGUCCGGAAUUAUUGGGNGNAAAGAGCUCGUAGGCGG
rnacentral:rRNA from 1 species